UUUCAUUAUUAUUUACUACUAGUAUAUCAUCUAAUUUGAAUUAAUUAAAAAUAUGAAACUAGAUUUGUAAAAAAAAAUAUAUUGGUAACACAUGAACAAACAAUGAGUAAUGUAUUUUCCAGCCUUUAUUAAUCUUUAAUAAAAACGGAGUUGUUAAUUGUUCACACUGCUUUAACUAAUGUUAACACAUACAACUUUAGAUUUUAAAACUGUUUUAGUAAACGUAAAUAACCAUUAAGAUUAAUGAAUUCUGUAGCAUUAUUGUUCAUGGGUAACUAAUGUAAACUAACAAAUGGUACAUUUUACAAUAUUUUCCUUUUCAAAAUGCACUUCAGUAAAUGUAUUCAGUUUUGUCCUAAAUGUACAAAUGAAAAAAAAAGUAAGCUUUAGUUAAUAUGACUGUAAAAUUAAGCUGUUUUAUUUUCCCUAUGUAAUCUUUCUCAGAGUACAACCAUACUUUUAGUACACAAAGAAAAGCAACAUUUUUCAUUUUUGAGUGAACACAAAGAAGAACACGCUUUUAAUUUUUAGUCCACUUUAUUUCCUUACAUAAAAAUGUAAGCAAAUAUCUCCAGAUCACAUUGGUUUUGGAGGGGCUCUUGGGGGACCACCCUGAAAGGAAACAAAGUCAGUUAACUUUGUAUUAUAUAUAUAUAUUGACAAAAUGGUGUAAAAUUAGCAUGUUUCAUAAUUCCUAAAAGCUAUCAAGCACAAAACAUGCUUAUGUUCUUAUUGAAAGCUGAUGUGGAUGUAAGACUUACAGUGGGCCUGAACCGUGGAGGAGGGGUCCGGUCUUUCCUGGCCUCACGAGAGCGGUUCCUCACCACUUUGCUGUGGAUGGCACAGCUGACACAGUAAUGCAGCUUCACAUACAGUUUGGGCAAAAUGUAGGCUUCAAACACACUGGCUUCAGAGAUGUCCCUAACAGCUGCAGCCUCCACAAUAUUUCUGAUGACAAACUUCUUGAUGGCUUUGUCCUUAGGGACACAUCGGGCACAGUUCGUGCAUCGGAUGGGCUGGACAUGUCCACGUCCCUUUUUGGCACGACCAUUAUUCCUCCUCUUCUUAGUCUAGAUUAAGAAAUACAGUUGGCACUUGUUUACAAAUUACAAACUUGUUUAGACAUGAACUUACAAAAGAUGUUAGAUUUAUGAUUUUUAAGUUAAAAUAUAAUGAUAACCUAAGUAUCUGUCUUUUACUCCGCUGUAGGUGUUCAUGUAUUAAUUUUUACAUUGUACAUCUGCUGUAUUAAGUAAUACGCAUAUAAAUAGUCUAUAGCCUAAAAAUCUCCAUCACUUAUCCAGGCUUUUAAAACAUUCAUAUUUAGAUGUGUGUUAAAGAUUAACAUCGGCAGUUAAAAGUAAAGACAUAUGGCUUAUAAAUGCUUGUUACGAGCGUAAAUGUACAUGCGUUACACUUCAGGCGUAGUAUCGCUUUAAUGACUUAAUAUGAACAAACCGGAGUAGUGUUUAAUUGUACAAAGUAAAAAAUUACUCCGAGAUGUACAACCGGUGGAAAACCCGCACUAGCUCGUCCUCAUAAACACACUUAUGAAACCCUGGCCUCUGUCUGAACGACUGGAAAACUCACCAUCUUGAUUCAGAAAUGCAUGAGAGAGGACCGGAAGAGCGUUUACGUCACUUAUAUAGUGCACACAGCAGCCGGAAGUAUCUGGGUAAGAUAAUAAAAGGCCCAAAGAUUUUAAAGUAACA
ensembl:lncRNA